GCUUAGCCCUAAACCCAGAUAUUUCAACACACAAAAAUAUCCGCCAGAGAACUACGAGCUAGACGCUUAAAACUCUAAGGACUUGGCGGUACCUCAAACCCUCCUAGAGGAGCCUGUUCUAUAAUCGAUAAUCCACGAUCUACCCGACCAUCUCUUGCCAAUACCGCCUAUAUACCACCGUCACCAGCUUACCCUAUGAAGGACAUAAAAGUAAGCAAAAUAGCCAACAGCUAACAAGUCAGGUCAAGGUGUAGCUAACUGAGAUGGAAGAAAUGGGCUACAUUUUCUACACUAGAAAUUAAACCACGGAAAGGAACUAUGAAACAAGUCCCAUAAGCAGGAUUUAGCAGUAAACUGGGAUCAGAAUACCCAAUUUAAGCCGGUCCUGAGGUGCGC
rnacentral:rRNA from 1 species